GUUGACAAGUGUUGGUCUGUGGUGUGUGAAUAAAAGCUGUUUGGUUGGAGAUAAAUAUUUUCGAUCAAUAAAGUCUACUACCUGAUAAAACUUUAUUGUUUUAAAGAUACAAUCUUAUUUCAUAUUUGUAACCGUUACUAACCUUGCCAGUGAUUUCAUCUUAAUAAGGUAUUUUUGGAAUUUAUUGCUGAUCAGAUUCUAGUGGAUAUUAAGGUAUUAAAAAACAACGGCGCCUAAAGGUACAUUCUGUGAUGAUUGACCUUUAAUAUGGAUGAUGUGAUAAUGAAUGUUUUUCAAAACCAGCACGCGUCAAUUGGGCAGAUCUUAUUGGGCUCCUUGUUCCUGUUAUGUGUAUCUUGUACCGUCGGCUCUCGGUGUUCAGCUAACACAUUUGGAUCGGUAAUUCCUGAUACUUCGCUGUCUACCAGUAUUUUUGAUAAGGUAUAUCCUGGAGGUUUGGCACUAUGUGCUAGAGAAUGUAAAUAUAGACGGCGUUGUAAAUCGUUUAAUUAUGUUGAUGCUACUGGUGAAUGUCAGUUAAACGAAGAUGUUAUAACAGGAUCUGGCGAAAAUACAACUGGUGUAUCUUACAGUAAUAUAGACACAUGGCCGGAAACGAUAGGAAGCACGUGCGCCAAUGAUAUAUGUACAGAUUUAGAUAAGUGUGUACCUAGUGCAACAGGAUACACAUGUCAAGCAA